UAUAAAUCCAAGAACACAACCGAAGAACGUGGGAGCGACCGCGGCGGAAAGCAUGAGAGCAAAGUGGAAGAAGAAGCGCAUGAGGAGGCUCAAGAGGAAGCGACGAAAGAUGAGACAGAGAUCUAAGUAGGCUAGGCCAUUGUUGGCAGAGAGUGAUCGAUUUGUUUCCAAGUAACCGCCGUGCUUUGCUUUGUGUUCGCCUAUUUGCUUUUAAGUUAAUGGUUUCGAUAUGUUUAACAUUUGGAGUAUGUUUUUAAUCUCUGUGUCUGCUCUUCUAUAAUUAUAAUUGAAGGAGAUUAUUAUUUAUCAA